rnacentral:rRNA from 1 species
UACGUAGGGUGCAAGCGUUGUCCGGAAUUAUUGGGCGUAAAGAGCUCGUAGGCGGUUUGUCGCGUCUGCUGUGAAAACUCAGGGCUUAACCCUGAGCCUGCAGUGGGUACGGGCAGACUAGAGUGUGGUAGGGGAGAUCGGAAUUCCUGGUGUAGCGGUGGAAUGCGCAGAUAUCAGGAGGAACACCGGUGGCGAAGGCGGAUCUCUGGGCCAUAACUGACGCUGAGGAGCGAAAGCGUGGGGAGCAAACGGG